rnacentral:rRNA from 1 species
GAUGAACGAUGGCGGCGUGCCUAAUACAUGCAAGUCGAGCGAACAGACGAGGAGCUUGCUCCUCUGACGUUAGCGGCGGACGGGUGAGUAACACGUGGAUAACCUACCUCUAAUACUGGGAUAACUUCGGGAAACCGGAGCUAAUACCGGAUAAUAUAUUGAACCGCAUGGUUCAAUAGUGAAAGACGGCUUUGCUGUCACUUAUAGAUGAAUCCGCGCCGCAUUAGCUAGUUGGUAAGGUAACGGCUUACCAAGGCAACGAUGCGUAGCCGACCUGAGAGGGUGAUCGGCCACACUGGAACUGAGACACGGUCCAGACUCCUACGGGAGGCAGCAGUAGGGAAUCUUCCGCAAUGGGCGAAAGCCUGACGGAGCAACGCCGCGUGAGUGAUGAAGGUCUUCGGAUCGUAAAACUCUGUUAUUAGGGAAGAACAAAUGUGUAAGUAACUAUGCACGUCUUGACGGUACCUAAUCAGAAAGCCACGGCUAACUACGUG